UUAUGCUUUUCUGUACAUUAACAUAAAUCAUAACUUGUUAUAAAAUUUUUUUUACAACUAUUAUUUUUGAAUUGGAAUUGAAAACUGCUUUUUGGCUACGCUUAAAUCAAAAGAGACGGAGUUAACGAGCUCACAUUUAAAUCAGUGAAGAGUACAAUAUUUUAAAUUCAAAAGAGCGGAAGUGUUAAUAAAAGACAUGAUAGAAAACAAGGCGUAAUGAAAAAUAGUCGUAUUGAUAUAAUCUACUUGAGCAACAAUUUUGAGUUCAGACUUCAUGGAGGUCGUGUACGAAAGGAAAUACCAACUGUACUUUCUCAUAGCAUCCACAACUGUCCACAGUACAGGUUUCCUCGUCUUAUCAAUGGCACUGUAUCUACGCAUGUACUACGAAAUCACCAAGCCUAAGCCGGAUUAUUUUACGAAAUUUGGUUAUUCCUUAAAAUACGUAAAUUCGGUGAAUGCCUUAAUCCAAUCUGUGUAUCAACUCAUCGCACUCACCGUUGAUAUUAUCACCAUUUGUUCGUAUACGAUGGAUGCGUCGCCCAGAUGGGUGGCGGUGAGGUCGUUCAUCAGGUCGGCUAUCGCUAUACCAAUUGGAUCUUUCACCACGAUCGGCUAUUGGGCGUUUACUUUCAAAGACACCUCGCUCCUCGGGAAAAAUGAUUAUCCGUAUUGGGUACAACAUUUAUUAUCCACGUUUUGCCUAUUUAUUUUACUGUGUGAUGUUAUCAGCUGCAGGGGUGAAUCCGCUAACAUGGGCAUGGCGUUUUGUACUUUAGGUAUUAUAUCUUUUUUCUAUUUCAUAUGGCUUCACAUCAUAUAUCACUUCACGGGCGUGUGGGCGGUCCCUUUCCUAAAACAUUUUACACUUCCUCAAAAGCUAGCGUUAUACGUAUUUUUCGUGAUCUUAGAAUACGUAUUUUUUCUCAUUGGCAUGUUUUUAAACAAUCUUUUGUGGAACGAGGAUUUCGCCGUGAACUUCCCGUGUUUAAGUAAAUUCGUCUCCGCACCUUCUCGUUUCAUUUACGGUAAGCCUUCUGCGACCUCAACCACACUUAAAGGACUUUUGAGUAGAACAGAAAGCAUGUUUGUUGACCGACCAAAAAAACCAAACCCGCCUGAAAAAAUAUAAUAGUUACAUUUGUGUGUAUUUUUGUUUUUCUUUUACGUAUAAUCAUGUGGUAAACGGUGAUUCGAUAAUUUCAUAACUUGCUAGAUCCAUAAAACUAAAACUAUUUUAAAAUAACAAUUCGGUUGUGUAACGUUUGAGAGGAUGCAAACUGCAAAGGUGACUGUUGAUGUGAUGACCACAUAGUAUGAAUACUAGUGUCUGUGCCGUGUCUGCUACGCUACGUGCUGGACACGCUCUUGUGCUGGUAGAUAUGAAUCGACCUAAGCGUGCAACACACCUCACGCAACCCAACGAGGCCUAACACCACCCGACCCCUUGUCUCAUGUUGGUGGUGUGUGCACAUCCGUUCGACGCAAGCAUACGCCACGCGACAGUUUCCACAGAGAAUAUCAUUGUAGUAUUCAUGAAAUGUAUCUCUCUUAGGAAGACAUGGAAGUAAUGGCCGCAGGAGCGAUCUGCUUGCUUUCAACGGCGAAAAGAAAAACAGGUUCAUGAGUAUUUUGUAUUUUCGGAUGACUCCAUGAAACAAUAAAGGAAUGCAUCAGGAAAACUAAUACAAAUUAUUAUAACCAUGCACUAUGUACAAUAUACGCUCAAAGACAAAAACCGGACACUCGUAUUUUGU